rnacentral:lncRNA from 1 species
CAAACUCAGAGAGAAAGCAGAUGUAUCUGGAAUUGCUUCUCCUGCACCUGAGGACAAGGAGCCCAGAGGGUGACCCCAUUUUUCUCUCCAACAUUUUUACUGGGCGUCAGACGAGACAGUUCCGGAAACUAUAAAGAAACUGUAACAGCCUGAAUUGCCGCCUCCUCAAAUAUUAACAACAACAACCCAACAGUAAAAUUCAUUACAUCCAUUCCCCUCCUCCUACAAGCACAGAUCCAAAGACAGAAGUGGUCAGAGCCGUCUUCCUUAUGGUCCAGCUUGGUCUUCCUUAUUCCAGCCUGGGUUUCCCAAGGAAACUGUCGACCCCAUAUCUGGAAGUGUGCACCAGAAGCCAAGAGUCCCUCCGCUUGCUCGUCAGGGCCAAGUAGGUGAAGAUUAACGCAAAAGGAGGCA